rnacentral:lncRNA from 1 species
AGAGAGGUAAAUGCUAAAAUGUAUUACAUGCGGUCACAUAAUUCCAAAACAAUGACUAUAUAUAGAGGUUGCAACAGAAUGGAGGAAUGAGAGAAUAUCGCCGAUUAGGACUAUUGAUUGAUCAUAUAGGUCGGUCGAUAUGAAGAAACACUACUUUUACUUGUUCCCUCUUGCAGUACCUGUUUUGCUGCACUAUCUAAUGAUGACCAGUUGCACAGCCAUGAAAAGAUUAAGUUUAGGCACUGAUCAAUCUGCUCUUUUAGCCCUGAAAGCCCAUAUCACUUCAGGACAGCAAGAAUUCUUGUCAGAAAACUGGUCUUCUACAGCUGCUGCAUCCUCUGUCUGUGACUGGAUAGGAGUCCAGUGCAGCUCUCGACACCAAAGAGUGACUGCUUUAAAUAUUUCAAACAUGGGACUCACCGGCACAAUACCUCCGGAUUUGGGAAACCUCUCCUUUCUUGUUUCUCUUGAUCUGAGAAAUAACUACUUCCACGGAAAUCUGCCCGAAGAGUUGUCACACCUGCGCCGCCCGAGGUUCGUCAGGUUAACCACUAACAACUUCACUGGAGAGAUUCCAAUGUGGUUUGGUCACUUCCCAGAACUCCAGUUCUUGUUUCUGGACGGCAAUGGUUUUAGUGGUUUUAUUCCUUCUUCUAUAUCCAACUUGUCAAGAGUGGAAAAGUUAGAUCUAAGCUACAAUUUCCUGGAAGGAAAUAUUCCAGAAAAGAUAGGAAAUCUUUCGGUCCUCAGAGAGCUGUAUCUAUCUGGGGAUGACUUAGUUGGUCAGAUACCAUUGAGUUUAUGCAAGUUUUCUCAACGUCAGGUGCUAGACUUGUCUAACAACAGGUUAAGCGGGCAAAUACCUAAAGAAAUUGGAAAUCUGGAGAAGCUCAAGGAGUUAUACCUCAUCACCAAUAACUUAACAGGUAAUAAUUUUGCUUUGCCUUUGUAUACUCACAUGGUCAAACAGCGGUUAAUAGUUUUUUUUUCCCUGUUUGACACAAGGAUUAGAAAAGCGUGUUCAAGUGAAAUCAAAAGAUAUAUGCAUACUAUUUAUACUAUUCAGAUGAAAUCAAAUAAAGAUAUGCAUGGGUUUUAACAAAACUAUUCAUACACAUGAUCAAUGAGAAAUAAAAAAAAAUUCAUUUUGUGAAAUGUUAACAAUUGAAAAUUUUUCUUACCAAAAAAAAAGGAUCGAAAAAUUCAUUUUGUAAAAUGUGAGAACUAUGGAAUGAAUUAUGUAAAUUUUGAUUUGACAUUUUGUCCUUAAAAAAUGCUCACGUACAAGAUACAUAAUGGAUUCCAGCCAAAAACUAGUUGAAAACUUAGAUAGAAACCAAAUUUGACCAAUAUGAAUUUGUAAGGGACGUAAAAUUAUACUUCUAAAAGUAAGGGACGAAAACAAUCAUUUUGCAAAAUGUGAGAAACAUUUUCAACCAUUUUCUCUUUUCAAAACAUGGUCAAAUGUCAUCAAUUAGACAAAUUACAAAUGCACAUUUGUUUUAGGCAUGAUUUAACAUACCUCCCCCAACGUUCAUGACAAUUAUAGGCGGUGCCCUCUAAGUUUGAAAAAUUACACCUACAUCUCCUCUUGGUGUAAAAUAACAAAAAUAACCUUUACGAACUACAAAAUGCAACGGCUCCAUGGAGGGAAUAAUGCAUUUGAAGUUAAAUUUAAAAAAUCAUUUAAUAGAGAAAAAAAGAAGAAGAACUACAGCAAUAGAUUCUAUCUCGUCUUAGCCACCAAAAUCACCUAAAUCUUUCUCAAUAUGGUCAUAGUUUGGGAGAGAGAAGAAUUUAGAUUCCUAUAAACAAUAAAGUGUUACUGAACUAGCAUCCAAUUUUUUUUUUUAUAAUUCUGUCAGCAUGAAUAAUUUUUUAUUUUGAGGGAAAAGGAAUGGAUUUGGUAGAUAAUUUUCUUAAAGUAUGUGAGUAGUAUUUUUAGUUCAAAAUUAUUAAGGAACUUUGUAUUUGCGGAGGAAAAUCAAGUAAGGGUGAUUUAGGAUUAUCAAUAGCAACAUUUUGUUUACAUCAGCAAAGUGAGCCCCAAACAAAUUUCUAAAAAAGGUUUUUACUUUUUCAAACUUAGAGGGCAUUGCUUGCAAUUGUCAUAAACCUUAGGGAUGGUUUGUGAAACUGUUCCUUUGUUUUAAGUAAAUCCAUGUUUGCAUUCUGUCGGAUGUGAAUGUAAGAAGCUAAGGAUUGUAAACUUGAAAGGGCAAGACAUAUAUGGAGGUGAAUAUGGAGAAAAUUAGAUUAUUUCCAAACUUUUACGGAGGAGAGUUGUAAUAUUAUAAGUGGCUAAAGUUGAAAUUUUCAAAAAUUGGAAGGUCUAGGUUCAAAUUUCCUUUUUCCCUCGCUACUUUUUUAAAUCUUAAUUAUCCUUCUCUUGCUAUAAUAUAAAAUUAAAAAAAUGUGUAUAAGUGAAAGUUUGAGAAGCUACAAAGGGAAUAAUAAUUAGUAAUGGAAAUUUCAAUUUCUUUGGGCAGCCUGCUGCUGCAACGUCCCUCUCUAUUCUUUAUUCCAAAAGUUUAAAACAUGAUUACCAACACAAAAUGUCGCUUGCUAGUUAGAUUUCGAUCAAGUAAGACUGUUUUCAAUAUAUCUCUAAAAUGAAUAUGAUUAAUUUUGUCUUUACGUUAAAUUGUUAGGUGUAAUUCCCCGAGAGAUUGGCAAUCUGUACGGUUUAGAGCUUCUCGUAUUGGGGAGUAACAACUUGACAGGUAAAUGUAUAGCUUCACCACUACUUAUAUAUGGUCUAUUUACAAUCAUGCAACUAGCAAUAUUUGGCGUAAGUCCUGAAGAACCUUCGCCAUCGAAAUCUUGUGAAGGUCAUCAGCGGUUGUUGGCACCAGGAUUUUAGGGCCUUGGUGCUUGAAUACAUGUGCAAUGGAAGCCUUGAGAAGUGGCUGUAUUCUGACAACUAUUUCUUGGAUACUCUACAGAGAUUGAAUAUAAUGAUAGAUGUGGCAAGUGCAGUGCAAUAUCUCCACGAAGAAUAUUCGACGCUUGUGAUUCACUGUGAUUUGAAGCCCAGUAAUGUCUUACUUGAUGAAGAUAUGGUUGCCCACGUCAGCGACUUUGGUGUUGGAAAAAUGCUCGAAAAGGACGAAAGCUUUGCAUGGACCAAGACCUUAGCUACAAUUGGCUACAUUGCUCCAGGUAAUGAUUCUUCAAUCUUAAUCCUGAAAGUUUGUAUGGCAUUUAGUUUCUUUUUUCGUUUUUUUUUCUUAUGUCACACUGGUUCAAUUUGAACGUUGUUUGUAGAGUAUGGAUCUGAGGGGUUGAUAUCAACAAAAUGCGAUGUUUAUAGCUAUGGAAUCAUGCUGAUGGAAGUUUUUUCAAGAAGAAAGCCAAAUGAUGAAAUGUUUGCUGGAAAUUUGAACUUGAAGAGUUGGAUAAAUGAUUCUCUGCCUAAUUCGAUUCUUCAAGUUAUUGAUGCUAAGUUGUUGAAGCAUGAGGAUGAAAAUUUCACUGAGAAGUUAGAGGGUUUAGCAUCCAUCAUGGAAUUAGCCUUAAAAUGUGUUCGUGAAUCUCCAACUGAAAGACUCAGUAUGAAAGUUGUACUUGAAACACUGAAGAAGAUCAAACCCAAAUUCUUGCAAGUAAUGUAGGCUGAUGAAUAGUUCGGAUCGAAUAUGUAGCAUCUUUUAUAAUCAUCCGAAAAAUUAGGGAAAAGAGGCAAUUUGUUGAUGCCAAAUAAAUCAAAGCACAUGAGCUAUGAAAGACACUGCGUUACUGCAAAUCAAAUUGUAUGAUUAAAAUUUGGAAUUUCUGAAUGUAGACAGAAGCAGGGAAUGGACCAGUGUUCAAAAAUAACCUCCUCUUCGAGAUUUGAAAUUUGUGAACGAAGCAAAUGUCUCUGGCUAUACAAAUAACCUCCUCAUCUGUAUAGCAGUGUGGUAAGUAGUGUUAUAUCACCACUCAGCCAAUGACAACCAUGUGUUCCACCUCCUUGGUUCCAGGUGAGACAUACACCUGAGAUACAUUUCCAACACUUGGUUGACCCUUUCUGUUUGGCCAUCUAUUUGAGGAUGGUAGGCUGUGCUCAUGCUCAGUUUCACCCCCAGUAGUGUGAAUAAUUCAAUCCAGAACUGACUGAUGAAGAUUUUAUCUCUAUUUGAGAUCAUGCUUUGAGGGAUGCCAUGUAGCUUACUGACAUGAUCCAGAAAAAUUCUAGCUAUCUUAGGGGCAUCAAAAGGGUGAGAUAAGCUCAGGAAGUGUGCAUACUUAGUAAACCUAUCCACUAUAACUAGGAUAGUGUCCUUCCCUUCUAAUCUAGGUAGCCCUUCUAUGAAAUCCAUGGUGAUGUGGCUUCAGGAGUGUUGUGGGAUAGGGAGAGGUUGGAGAAGUCCUGGAUAAGCCACACGUUCAUCCUUACACUUCCUGCAGGUGUCACAUUGCAAGAUUGCUGUCUUGAUCUCCUUGAACAUGCCUGGCCAGUGAAAGAGCUGUUUAGCUCUCAUCCAACUGGCCUGUAUGCCUAAAUGUCCCCCUAGCUGGGAGUCAUGAAGGGUAGAGAUGAGCUUUCUUUGACGUUUGAAUUUGCUGAUCAGUGUCUAUGCAUGAUACUUUGUGCAAAUUUUUGUCUCCCUUGAUGUGCAAAUAAUAAUUAUUUCAUUUGCAUCAUAAACACAUUUCCCAACCCACCUUUUUAUAUUCCUAAUCAACUUUUUAUCUCACAUACAUCACAUCACAAAAAGUGCUACAGUAAUUAUUCCAAAUAAUAUUUCAAAUAAUACUCUAUCCAAACAAACCCAAUGUAUUGGUUGUUCGCAACCUGGUUUGGGUACGUAGUAAGUGGAAGUUUCAGAAUUGUGAACAGUUUAAUGCAUGUUUCAUCAUUUUCCUCCUUUUUUUUAUCUUUUAUUAUUUUUGUAGUCAAUUUUCCCAUUGUAGAAUAAUAUCCUCAAUUUUUUCCUUUUUAUGUGUGUCUUUUGUACAAGUAUUUUUUGCAAGGCAUCUCGACAUUUUCGAAUUGCCAGUUUAUUAUUCUUUCAUUAUUUCUUUUUUUAGUAUGGCAUCUACCUGCUAAUUUUGGGAGGAAAAUGAGAAACGAAACUCGAGCGAGGAGCGGGAUUCAGGGAAGAGUGACGCCCAGACUUUUUUGGUUUCCUGUUUGUAUACACCAUCCAAAACAAUAAAUACACCAUCCUCCCUGGCCUACUACAACUCUCCCUUUAUAUCUUAGAAUCCCACUUUGAUAAGUGUAAUCAGAGUUCAGGCCUGGACAUGUCAAGAUUUCUUGAUGAUAUCUUGUGCCCAGUUAUCACCCUGGUAACUUUCCAGCACUUCUUUCAUCCAUUCUGGUGUGAUUGUGGAAGUUACUGCACACUCAGCUUCAUUCCUCCCCUUCCUGGACAGUGCAUCUGCUACUACAUUUUCCUUCCCCUUCUUGUAGCAUAUCUCAUAGCUCAGGCCCAGCAGUCUAGUCAACGACUUCUGUUGGAGAGGGAUAGUGAUCCUCUGUUCUAGUAGGUACUUCAAGCUUUGGUGGUCAGUGUUGAUGAUGAAAUGGUGCCCUUCCAAAUAGUGCCUCCAUUUAGUGACUGCUAUGACUAGUGCCAGCAGCUCUUUCUCAUAAAUUGAUAGUCCUAAGUUCUUCUGUCCCAAGCUCUGACUGAGAUAAGCCAAGGGUCUCUUGUUCUGCAUCAAUACAGCUCCUAUUCCUCCAUAGCAAGCAUCUGUCUCAAUCAUAAAGGGUUGGGAGAAGUUUGGGAGGACUAGUACAGGGGUACUGCACAUAGCUAACUUCAGCUUCUGAAAAGCAUCUUCAGCCUCCUCUCCCCAGAUAAAGCCAUCUUUUUUUAAGAGAGUAGUUAAAGGUUUUGCAAUAGCACCAUAUCCCUUGACAAACUUCCUGUAGUAGCCUGUCAGUUCAAGAAACCCUUUCAGUUGUUUGGUGUUCACUGGAAUUGGCCACUGCAUCAUGUUGACAAUUUUCUUGGGAUCAGCUCUUACUCCUUCUGCUGAGAUGAUAUGUCCUAGAUACUCCACUUGCUUCUGAGCAAAAGAGCAUUUACUCUCCUUUGCAUAUAGCUGGUGCUGUCUAAGAAUCCCCAGGACCUCAAUGACAUGCUCCACGUGUUCCUCUAAUGUAGGACUGUAGAUGAGUAUAUCAUCAAAGAAUCCUAAAACAUGCUUCCUGAGCUGUUUCUGAAAAACCUGAUUCAUCAAACCUUGAAAAGUUGCAAGGCCAUUGGUCAGCCCAAAUGGCAUGACCUUAAAUUCGUAUAGCCCUUGGUGUGUCCUUAAAGUUGUUUUGGGUAUGUCUUCCUUCCUUAGCCUUAUCUGGAAGUACCUAGCUCUGAGGUCAAUUUUGGUGAAGUACUUGGAUCCAUGUAGUUCAUCCAGUAACUCAUCAAUGAGGGGCAUAGGGAACUUGUUCUUGAUUGUUAGAUCAUUGAGCUGCCUGUAAUCCACAAAAAACCUCCAUGAGCCAUCCUUUUUUUUUACCAAAAGUACUGGUGAGGGAAAGGGGCUGCUACUCAGCUGAAUGAUUCCAGUCUGUAGCAUUUCCUGCACUAGCUUCUCAAUCUCAGUUUUUUGGAUGUAGGGGCAUCUAUAGGGCCUAAUUUGGAAUGGCUUUGCCCCAUCCUUAAGGGUGAUGCAGUGAUCCUGGCUCUUCUCAGGGGGUAGUCCCUGAGGUUCUUGGAAUACAUAUGUAAAUUCCUGCAAUAGCCUCUCCAUUUCUGGUGGUGUGGGUUCCUGGUCAGGUUCUUUGUCCACUACUGCACUCACCUAUGCCAGAAUCCCAUAUGUCCGCUUCCUGGUCCAUUUGUACAGUCUACUACCCCUUAUUAGUGUCAAUUGCACUGUAUUGUCUUCCCCUUUUAGUUCUACCUGUUGCUUCCCCUUCCUGAAUUUCAUACUUAGACCUCUAAAGUCAAAUUCCAUUGGACUGUACCUGGCUAACUAGUCAACUCCUAGUAUCAUGUCACACCCCCCCAACCUCAGGGUUUUGAACUGGUGUUGAAACUCCUAUCCCUGCAUUUUCCAUGUCAUAGGCUUAACAAUGUUUCUGAAUUGUAGUUUUUCUCCAUUUGCCACCCUUACUGACAGAGUCCCCCCUUCUGUUCCUAAUUUUAAGUUUUUGGCCACCUACUCAUCAAUGAAACAGUGUGUACUGCCACUGUCAACCAGAGCAAUAAUGGCCUUCCCCUUAAUCAUUCCUUUGAUCCUGAUGGUCUUGUGUUCACCCCUCCCUGCUAAGGCAUGGAUGGAUACCUCCAUGUGCUCGUUUUCUAAUCCCCCCCCAAUACAAUCACAGAACACAUCAGUCUCAUCUUUCUUCUCCCCCUCCACUUCAGUGGUUGCCUCCUCAUCCUUCUCCAUUAUCAACAGGUUUAAAUGAGACUGUCUGCACACAUGUCCUAUGGUAUAAGGCUCAGCACAUUUAAAGCAUAGCCCCUUUUCCCUCCUAAGGUUGAGUUCUGCUGGGGUGAGUCUUUUGAACUAGUUCUGGGUAUUGGUGUAGUUGUUGUGUGUUUUAGGGGUUGGCCUGUUAGGAAAUUUAGGAUAGCUUGGGGAUUUGUCAGGAGGUUUUGAAUAGUUUGGGGUUUUAAGUAAAGGUUUCUGGAAGUUGGAGUUGUAGGAAAUGGUUUUAUGAAUCUUCUGCAGGGCCCUCAGGUUCCUCUCCUGUAGUUUGUCAGCCUCUAUGGCAUCUACUAGUGUCUUAGGCUUGGCCAAUUUUACCAUGGUUACUAUCUCCUCUUUCAAUCCACUAAGAAAACAGGUUUUAUAGUAGCAAUCUUGUAAAUGGGGAAGAGAAGGCAUUACCAAAGCCUUGAGCAUCUCAAAUUGCUCCAAGUAGUCAGUCACUGAUCCUGUCUGCAUUAGUUUAUUGAAUUCUUCUAUAGCUUCCUCAGGAGAGCCCUCUCAAAAUCUCUUGCAUAGUGCAUUGAAGAGUUCUUCCCAUGAAAUAGCAUCCCUGCCAUUAAACACUCCAUGGAACCAUAUAUCUACCUUAUCCCUGAAAUAGAGUUCUGCAACUUUAGAUUUCAUCUUCUCCUCUACUCCAUUGAUCAUAAAAUACUUAUUGGCCUUCCUGAUCCACUCCCUGGGGUUCUUCCCAGUGAAUGUUGGUAGAUCUACCUUAGGUAACCUGGAGAGUGUUCUGCUCUCUCUGGACUCAGAUCUGUCCUGAACUCUUUUCUGCAACUCUCUCCUCCUGCUGCCUUCCCGGUGUCCUAGUUCUGGCUCUGAGCUGCUACCUUCCAGAUCCUUCCCUUUGUCAUAUAGCUUUGCCAGCAUUUGAGCCAUCAUGUUCAUCAUACCUUCAUACUUCUGAUCCAGGUUUUUGAGAGCCUUCUCGGUACUCUCCUGCUUGUGCUCCAUGAUCCUUACAGCCUGCUCCAGUCCAUCACUCCUGUUAGCAAAAGUUCUGACUAUACUUCCCAAUUCAGUUAUUUCUUUUCUUAUCUCGUCCUGAUUUUUAGUCAUUUCCCAAUGGCUCGUAGCUAGCUUUGAUACCACUGUUAUGGUACAGAAACCAGAGAAACCAAAAUUUGCAGGAAGCAGAAGAAAUCAAGCUCAAUUGAAUGAAAUCAAUUAAUAAUUAAUCGAUGGAACAAUGAGCGAAUAAACUUCAACUUUCAUUAAUUGAAUCUGGAAAACUGGUUACAAGAACAGAAGUGACGAAUUUAGCUGAGAAGGGGAAAGAUUGAAGGAAAAUUUGGGAGGGAAAAUGAGGAUUGCCUUUCAAGCUAAUUCAGACGAAUCUGAGGGAAUAAUUCCUAACAAAUAAAGCAGACAGGCCUGCUUUUAAUACUAACAAAUCCUAACAGAUUAUUAGCUAGACUAAUAAGAAUGAGGCACGUGUCUUACUGUAUCUGAUGGAUUGCCGCGCUUUUGAAUUUCUGUUAGAUCAGUUGAACCCUAGAAAAGGCAUGAUUUUUUUUUAUCACGCCUUCGAUAACCUUCUGGUUUGGUGAUCACGCCUUCCGCUACUGAUAUCCACGCCUUCUUUGUUCCUGCUACCUAGCUCUUGCCUCUGACUUUAGUUAUGCUCUCACUCCAUUACAUAUAGUAUUACAUGUGCAUUACUCCAAAAUUUUCAUGCCUUACUCUGUCCUUGCAUAUGUAUUAGUACGAUGAUUAUCAUCUAUCUGUGUUUGCAGCUUCCUUGUUGUUUAUUGGUUUGUGAAGCUUUUAAUAUCUUCAACUGUGUGAUUUUUUUGUGCUAACACAUUUAGCGUUCCAGAUGAAUCCUUGGAUAGAUUAGAGUAGAAGUAAUAGUGUGUAAGUUGCUAAUUGACCAUAAAAAAAGAUAUUAAAAUUAAUUUUGUAAGUUGAGUCCAUUUCCUUUUCUACCUCGUAUAUUUUGUGAUCUUUUUUAAAGUAUAUUAAAAUUUCAAGUUUAUAAUAAAGUAUGUAGACUAAUCCUAAAGCAAUAGCUAAUGACACUUAAAAGCAUAUUACAAUAGCUUUUAGCUUUAAAAAAGUUAUAAUGAGCUAUAAACGACUUAGAACAGGCCACAGAGGUCCAUUUGUUUCCUUUGCAAAUUUAGAAGAGGAAAAUGUUAAAAUGUGAAUAGGUUGCCAUCAUCAGAAAUUUUGAGGAAAGAAUACGACCGAGACUGCUCAUCUAGAAUUUGGAAAAUUUUUUGUACAGCAUUGAUGAACUUGCUCCGAUGAAUACCUUGUAACUUUCUUGGCAAAAUAAUCAGCGUGAAUAGAAACAAUUGCUUACAAGUUGUUUGACAAAAAUUCAUCAACCAUAAUCACUAUGACUAUGAUAAACUAGUUAGUAAUAAUGAAUUUUUGUUGGAACCCAUACAAGUUUAGGAACUAAAAUUUAGAGGUGUCAAAAUGGAUCAUUCUAACAUGUUUGGACAAGUCAUAAUUUAGUAGUGGGUAUAAUUGGAUUAAUCUACUUAUACCAAUUUAAUAAAUGAGCCAAAAUGAGUCGACAUAUUUAUCCCCAUUUAAUAAAUGAAUAUGAGUAUACCCAUUUACCAAUUUAUGACACAUUUGAAAUUUUACUCUUUUUUAAAAAAAAAUUUUUGCAUGCUGUUUGACAAGAAAUAAUAACAUUUUAUUAUUAUUAGAUUGAUAGGAAAUUCAAAUUGAUCUCAUUAACACUCACUAAAAAUUGAGUUUAAAUGUAUAAUUAUUUUUAAAUGGAUACCUAAUUAAAUUUAUUUAAUUGGUGGGUAGUGGGUUGACUCAGCUUAUCAAUUUAUACCCAUUUAAAAAAUAAUUAUAUAUUUAAACUCAACUUUUAGUGAGUGAUAAGCAAAUAUAUUUGAGAAUUUCUUACUAAUCUAAUAACAAUAAAAUCUUUAUUUCUUGUCAAACAAUAUGUUAAAAAAAGUAGAAUUUUAAGUGACUUAUAAAUAGGUUAAUUGGCUAUAAUUAUACCCACUUAUUAAAUGGAUAUAAAUGGAUUGAUCCAGUUAUAUCCAUUACCCAAUUAUAAUUUGCCCAAACCUAUUCGAAUUACCCAUUUUGAUACCUCUAUGCUCCAUAUUUCGUUGUUUAAAUUCUAGUUAUUGAAUGUUGAUGAUUUAUUGAAAAUUCAAAGAGAAUUGAAUCAUAGUUCUUGCUAAUCAUAUUACGUUAUACGUGUUAGCAUAUGUAAUCUACAAUAGAGCUAUACAUUAAAAAACGCAUGUAGUUUUUGUUGUUAUUUUUCUUAUCUCAAUAAAAUUGGACGUAAUUAACUUUGGAUUACUAUGGUGUGCAGGUAUAGUUCAACGAUUUAAUAAUGCGCAUGCUCAUUUUAAUUCGAAUGUGCAUGUAUUUGGAUUUGUUAACGUAUAAUUUUCGUACUUCAAGUAACAAUUAUUUUAAUUGUAAAAUUGUACAUUAAGUGUUGGAGGCAUAUGGCUAAUCGUAGAGGAUUUUUUUUAUUAUUUUUAUUUUCUUAGUGUAGGUGGGUGUUUCAAACUUGAAACCUCUUAUUUACAUUCCCUCACCGUCCAAUCCAUCCCUUCUCCUGCUGACUGCAGAGUUGAAAAAAUGAAAUAAAAAAAGGCACUUGAUUGUAUUCGAAUAUAAAUCAAUCUCCCAAUCUAAUUUUAUCUCUAAGUUUCAGAUAUGUCCAUCCUAAAAAUACCGUUGUGAUUUUUUAAAAUCUCAAGUAUGUACACCUGAGUGAGUCUAAAAGAAAAGGAUAUAAACACCUUGUAAUUUCUUAGAAUCUCAAAACGAAAAGGAUAUAAAUAAAAUGUUAGGAUGUCACAAAUUUGUGUCUUAUUGAUCAUGAAAAUCUUUGGCUCCACCACUAUAGAAUACCCCUCCAAAAAUUGAUUAUGUGCACAUGGUACGAUCAACUACUGAAGUGAAUUAACUGCACUUGACAUUGUCUAAUUGGAGAGGCAGAAAUGAAUUAAGUGAUACGAAAAAAAGAGAAUAUAAAUGAAAGACAUUAGAUUCAAAUCCUUCCGUUUACACUAAAAUAAAAAGGACAUUAGUAACUAGAAAGUCCCUUGAAGUCCUGUCGUUGGCGAUGUUGAGAGGUAAAGAAAAAGUCUGGUUCUGCCAAUUAUAGAAGUCAAUUGAAAAUGCCUUGUACAUCCUGACCUAUUAAUGACUAUCAAGAAAAAGUCUAAAUAUUAAACGUCCAUGCUAACAAAAUUUCCAACGCCCUUUGCACGCUGAAGACUUGGUGCAUGCGGUUGUUAAUUGACAUCUCAGAUGUUGUAAGAAUUAUUAACGGAAACUUGCAGAAUAGAUCCACAUCAAAUUAAUGAAGGCGAGAAAAAAAGAUGAUUAGGACGUCCAGAAAUUCAUGACUUAAGACUCGUACAAGAUUAAUUACUCCCACUUUAAUUUUUUUUUUUAUAUGAUAGCUUCUUAUACUAUGAGGAGAGGAAAGCCUGAGAGGCCCUAAGAUAACUAUGGUCAGUUGGAUCCUAAUAUUGCUAGACUCGAUUACCACCCACCAAAACUUCGCUAGGUGUCUUCAGAGUUCAGAGACUACAGUAAUGUUAUGAAUUAUUUGCAGAUUGUUAUUUGAGUUAAAGAGACAAAACCGUGUCAACAAUGGGAAGCAAAAUACGAACACAUCAGCGGAAAAGCUAAAGAGUUAUGAUGACCUCUUCCAAUGUACCCAAAAAAAAAUUACAUCAUAUUCAAAUGAUAUUACACUGUUUAGGAGGAGUUGCGUUUCCUCAUCUUGUUGCAAUUUAAGGGUUUAUGACCUCUUCAUUCGUACCAAAAAAAAUUAUGUUAUAUUCAAACGGUAGUAUACUACGUAUUAGGAACGGAUUUCAUAAAACUGUUUCUGUCCUGUAAAAUAUCGACAUUGACUGUUUAUUCUAUGUCUUCUUAUAUUAGUUUAAUUUCUAUAUAAUCUCAAACAACUAAAAUCAAUAACUUUUGAAGCCGUUAAUCCUAACUGGACGUAACCAAUUUAAGUGCAACUGUUAAUAAUAUCGUAGGUGAUAUAGUUUUUUUUUUUUUCCAUUUUAACGUAACUUAUGAGUCAAAUGUUUGUACAUUAAUUAAUCACAAUUCAAAUUGAAUGAUGAAUCAAAUUACCAGAUAUUUGAUUCUAGUCUUGCGGGUAAGAAUUGGCUUGAGUCAAGUUCGAUGACUAAUCAAGCCAAGCAUGAAAAGCAGGUUAUAUAUAGUAAACUUUCAAACUCAACUCAUCUUGAACUUGAUUCAAUUGAUAGUAUAAAACUUGAAAUUUAUCUAUAGAAUUUUCAAUCUACUAGUACAAAGCUCAUGCUCAAUUUGACAAAAGCUUAUUUGAGUUUGACACAAUAAAUUUCAAGUCAAACUUGAAUAAAAUUUCAAACUUAUGAAAAUAAACAAACACGUUUAAACAUUAGAGUAUUGAAGUUUGUUAACACCUCUAAUCCAACUAAUUUAAUCUUAACCCACUUUUGGGAUUUGUCCACACAAUAAUGGUGUCUAUAAAAUCCCCACAUUUAAAACACAUAUACGCUCCACACGCUGGCGUCUAAUUUCCUGUUGUCCAUCACCAAUUUGGACAAUUGAUUGAUCAUAGAGGUCGGUCGAUAUGAAGAGACACUCCCACUUCUACCCUCUUGCAGCACUUGUUUUGCUGCACCAUCUAAUGAUGACCGGCUGCACAGCCAUGAAGAGAUUAAGUUUAGGCACUGAUCAAUCUGCUCUUUUAGCCCUGAAAGCCCAUAUCACUUCAGGACAGCAAGAAUUCUUGUCAAAAAACUGGUCUUCUGCAGCUGCUGCAUCCUCUGUCUGUGACUGGAUAGGAGUCCAGUGCGGCUCUCGACACCAAAGAGUCAAUGCUUUAAAUAUAUAUAUAUAUAUAUAUAUAUAUAUAUAUAUAUAUAUAUAUAUAUAUAUAUAUUUCCAAAACAAUGACUAUAUAUAUAGAGGUUUCAAGUUGGUUAAGAAUUUCACUAUGAAAAACCCGAUCCAAUAAAAGAAAUAAGAUAUGCGAGUUUUUCCUUAUUUUCUCAAACAAAUUUUGGGUAUUUUUCUCUGAACAUUUUUCUCAAAAAACUUACCAAACAAUUUGUGUGUGUUGAUUACUACAAUUAGUGUGUCAAUUAGUAAAACUUGGUGAGUAUUUAUAGACAAAUAAGUUGUCCCUAUCAUUUUAGAAACCUAAAACUAGUUUCUAAUACGAUUUAACUUCCUUAUUAGAUUUAGCUUUUUUAUUUUAAUACAACUCUUGUAUUUGGAAGAUUUAAACUUAUUUGUACCAUAAGUCCCGCAAGUUUAAUUUAUCUCACAUUUUAAAUAUCCAAAAUUUAAAACUUAUCCUUUAAGUCCCUACUUGAAUUUAAUUUAAUAGCCAUAGCUUGGUUAAUAUGUAGUUGUGGUUCAGCCUUUGAAUGAUCAAUCUAAUAGCUAGAUGGAUGGAGAAGAUCUGGUUGAAAAGGCAUUAGCCUGGUGACUAAGUUUAAAAUUUUUUGAAAUUAGAUGUCUUGGAUUUAAAUUCCUCUUUUAUCUCUCCACUUCUUAAAUCUCGCCAUUUCUCUAUUAAAAGGCUGUUGCAAUGCAAAAACACUAGAAUUCGAUAAUCAAUGAACAACACUCAGUUAGCAAAAAGCACAUUAUUCAAAUUAGGUUCAGAACUAGAAUACGAAUUUUUCACUCUUUAAGGGUACAUAGGUCCGUCACGCAGAAACCUCGUAUGGUUGGGAGAUUUUGAUUGAAGUAGUAAAGUUACUCCAAAAAAUCUCUGGAAUGUAACCCUAUGCAGUUUUUCCUAAUCUUUUAUUGGUAAGUACUUGAAAAACUAAACUUCCGAGCCACGAAAAAUAAUCCAUUGCUUUAGGUCUAAUGACACCUCAACUGAAAAUUAUUCAUUCAUAAGUUGCCUGGUAACUGGAUCAUGUCGGCAUGCGGAAUGAAAAAUCAAGCACGGUGUUUAUACGUUGGAUUUUGGAGAAAUUGCUAAUUAGGAGCAAAUAUGAAUUUGAAGAUACCAAACUAAGAGAUUAAUCUAGUCUAAAAAAAAAAAAGGUAAAAGUUUCUGGAUCUCUAAAUUAUGAUCCUCUAAUGGUGUUUUCCACCUCAUGAUUAUCGAAGUUAAUAUGAAAUACAGAAAAGAGUAAACUAGCAAUUUUUGAAGUUAAUUUAAUUUGGUCCACUAAGUCAACCGAUACGGCAUACACAGAAGCUCCGGGAGCAGCAUGACCAGUGACAACUGUCCACAAAAUGUAGGGUCUCCAGUCCCUUGACUUUGCUCGGAGACUAGUGAACUUUGAAACUCAUUCCUUAAGUACUGAACCCACUAACCAAAUAUCAUUUAGUUUUUCUUUAAAUUUUACAAGAUGCCAUUUAGCAUUUUAAAAAAAAAAGUAAAGGAAAACAUGCAGAUUAAAAGCUAGCCAUCAAUGAAAUCACAGUAGGUUGUUGAAAACUGGUCCACACCACUCAAUGAAUUAGGUGAGUAAAGGUUAGUUUAGCACUUCACUAAAUAAUCCCUCAAUUGCUGCUGGUUGAGCAUAUAUAUAUAUAUAUAUAUAUAUAUAUAUCAGCAGCGAUUUCCUGAGGACAAUUCCGAGUGCUUAUUGGUUGAGCCUUUGAGGGAGCACUGUCAUCACUUACUACUCAAUCAAAGAAUUUACUCACAGCAUAAUAAAUCGUAUUUGGAAUCAUUACUACUAAUCAAUAUAUAAUAGUUUGGAAUCAUUGCUAAUCAAUCAUAUUGGUUGCGUUAUAGUACGUAUUAGCGUUUGUAAUCUACAAUAGAACUAAACGUAGAAAGCACAUGUAGUAUUUGUUGUUAUUUUUUGUUUCUCUUGGUUAUCAAUUAUAAAAUUGGUUGGGGAUUAAUUUUGGAAGAUUUGAUUUAACGUGGUCGGCAGGCAUAGUUUGAAUAUAUUCUAUAUACGGAUAGAGAUAAUGUUGUAAAUAAUGCGCAUGCUCUUUUUAUUGCCAAUGUGCAUGUAUUUGGGUUUGUUUACGUAUAUUUUUCCGACUCCAAGGAACAAUUUUUAUGUAAAAUACUACAUAAAAUUUUGGAGGCGUAUGGCCAACCGUGGAGUUGGAAACACAAAAAAAAAAAAAAAAUUUAAUAGUGCUAUAAUAUAAAUCAAUCUCUCAAUUUAAUUCUGACUUUUAUUUCUAAAUUUUAGACAUAUACACCCACCCCUAAAAAGUGAAUAUUGUUGCAAAACUUAAAAUCUCAAGUGUGCGUUAUAAUAUAAAUCAACCUCUCAAUUUAAUUAUGACUUUUAUUUCUAAAAUUUAGACUUAUAUACCCACCCCUAAAAAGAGAAUAUUGUUGCAAAACUUAAAAUCUCAAGCGUUCACACUUGUGUGAACGUGAGUAUGACAAGGAUAUAAACAUAUUACAAUCUGUCUAAUGGAUACCCGUUAAGAUAUAUUUCAGGUGUUAGAUUUUUAGAAAUAUAAAAUUAAUUAAAGAAAUCAUAUAAAUGCAAGGAAAUUAAUUAGAAAAAGUGUGCGAAUGCAAGGGAAAGUAGUAAUUAUUAGUGUUAGUGUGUGUAUACACGAUAGGUUGAGUGGAAUGUAGGUGUAUUAAAGAGUGUUUACAGGACACUGGUUUAAAAAAAAAAUCCAACAUAUAUAUUAUUAGGAUGUAACAAAAAUUGUCCCGCUGACCAUGAAAAUCUUUGGCUCCACCACUGCAGGCAGGAAUGGAUACCCUUCAAAAGCGUUGCUUAUGAAUAUAGGUGUCAAACCAACACAUUUAACUAAAUUUACUUAUACCCUUUCAUGAAUAGAUGGGUAUGGAUAUCUUAAAUUUUUGCAUAUGGGUAUAAAUGGGUUAUCCAAUAAUACCCAUUUAUUAACUGGGUAUUAUUAGGUAAUCCAUCAAACCCAAUUGACCCAUUUAAAAUUAUUUUUCCCCAAAUCUCUUCUCUUUCCCCACCCUUUUUUUUUCCAAAAUUUUCAUUUUGUUAACUACUUUUGUUAUUAUUAUUAUUAUUAUUUGUUGGUUUUAUCUUAUCAUUUUAUUUUCUCUUAGUUUGUUAACUUGCUCAUUUUUCAGUAUUACCAAUUUAUGAUAAGUUUUAGCCUCUUUUCCUACCUUUUCAAAAUGAAAUUUUAAAUUUACACAUGAAAAAAAUGUUAAGGGUUCAAAAUUUUUGGAUUAAAUUUUUAUGUUAACUUUUAUAGUACUUAGUUCAAAUUUUUAUAGUCUUAUUAUUCAACUAUUAAAUACUAUGUAAUUUUAUGACAUAGAGUAUAGAUGGGGAAAAAAUUGGUAAUUAGGCUUAUUGAACAUUAUAAGUAAAUAUUUAAAACUAAUGAUGGGUGCAAAGGAUGGUAUAAAUUGAUAACUUAGUUUGCAAAAAUAAAUUUAAAUGAGUUUACAAAAAGUUAAAAUAAUACCCAUUUAUAUCCAUUUAAUUAGAUAUGUAUAAAUGGAUUGACUCACUUAUACCCAUUAUCCAUUACCCAUUCUACUCAAUCCAAAUCCGUCCAAGUCACCCAUUUUGACACCUCUAUUUAUGAGUAUGUGCCACGAUCAACUACUUCACUGAAGCAGCGAAUUAAGCUCCACUUGACAUUAUUAUUGUCUAACUGGAAAGUCCCGUCCCAUGCAUGAAGUCCCGUUGUUGGGGAUGUUGAGAGGAAAAGAAAAGUCUGGUUCUUCUUUAUUACAGAAGCCAACUACUAAAUGUUAUGGUCCAAUAUCGAAUGGUUAACAAAAUUUCCAACGUCCUUUACACGGUAGUUGACAUGUCACAUGUUGGAAUUUAUCAGCCAAGAAUUAUUAACAGCAACCUGCAGAAUAUAUCCACAUCAAAGGCUAGCUAGAAAAUAGAUGAUUAGUACGUUCAUAAUUUCUUUGAGUUAGACUAGUAGUACCCUAUUGUGUACAAAUAUAUAUAUACAUACAUACAUACAUACAUACAUACCGAUCUUGUAGAUCUAUGGGUCCAAAUUUUGUCACAUCUUUAAAUACUUGAGUUAGUAAAAUGGUGUGUUAAAUUUUGAACCACCAAACCUAUAUACACUCGAUCUACCUAAGUGUUUGCUCUAGACUACAGUCGUAUUCAUUCCCAAAGUCACCCCAACUAGAGAAGUCAACUUGGGGGAAGGGAAAUUUAUUUUUAAAAAGAAAAAGAGAGAGAGAGUCGGAAAAAGUGAAAAAUUGAUCAAAAUUCAGCGGAAAAGGUUUUUUAAGGCAAAGUUUGGAUAGCUGAGAGAGGUAAAUGCUAAAAUGUAUUACAUGCGGUCACAUAAUUCCAAAACAAUGACUAUAUAUAGAGGUUGCAACAGAAUGGAGGAAUGAGAGAAUAUCGCCGAUUAGGACUAUUGAUUGAUCAUAUAGGUCGGUCGAUAUGAAGAAACACUACUUUUACUUGUUCCCUCUUGCAGUACCUGUUUUGCUGCACUAUCUAAUGAUGACCAGUUGCACAGCCAUGAAAAGAUUAAGUUUAGGCACUGAUCAAUCUGCUCUUUUAGCCCUGAAAGCCCAUAUCACUUCAGGACAGCAAGAAUUCUUGUCAGAAAACUGGUCUUCUACAGCUGCUGCAUCCUCUGUCUGUGACUGGAUAGGAGUCCAGUGCAGCUCUCGACACCAAAGAGUGACUGCUUUAAAUAUUUCAAACAUGGGACUCACCGGCACAAUACCUCCGGAUUUGGGAAACCUCUCCUUUCUUGUUUCUCUUGAUCUGAGAAAUAACUACUUCCACGGAAAUCUGCCCGAAGAGUUGUCACACCUGCGCCGCCCGAGGUUCGUCAGGUUAACCACUAACAACUUCACUGGAGAGAUUCCAAUGUGGUUUGGUCACUUCCCAGAACUCCAGUUCUUGUUUCUGGACGGCAAUGGUUUUAGUGGUUUUAUUCCUUCUUCUAUAUCCAACUUGUCAAGAGUGGAAAAGUUAGAUCUAAGCUACAAUUUCCUGGAAGGAAAUAUUCCAGAAAAGAUAGGAAAUCUUUCGGUCCUCAGAGAGCUGUAUCUAUCUGGGGAUGACUUAGUUGGUCAGAUACCAUUGAGUUUAUGCAAGUUUUCUCAACGUCAGGUGCUAGACUUGUCUAACAACAGGUUAAGCGGGCAAAUACCUAAAGAAAUUGGAAAUCUGGAGAAGCUCAAGGAGUUAUACCUCAUCACCAAUAACUUAACAGGUAAUAAUUUUGCUUUGCCUUUGUAUACUCACAUGGUCAAACAGCGGUUAAUAGUUUUUUUUUCCCUGUUUGACACAAGGAUUAGAAAAGCGUGUUCAAGUGAAAUCAAAAGAUAUAUGCAUACUAUUUAUACUAUUCAGAUGAAAUCAAAUAAAGAUAUGCAUGGGUUUUAACAAAACUAUUCAUACACAUGAUCAAUGAGAAAUAAAAAAAAAUUCAUUUUGUGAAAUGUUAACAAUUGAAAAUUUUUCUUACCAAAAAAAAAGGAUCGAAAAAUUCAUUUUGUAAAAUGUGAGAACUAUGGAAUGAAUUAUGUAAAUUUUGAUUUGACAUUUUGUCCUUAAAAAAUGCUCACGUACAAGAUACAUAAUGGAUUCCAGCCAAAAACUAGUUGAAAACUUAGAUAGAAACCAAAUUUGACCAAUAUGAAUUUGUAAGGGACGUAAAAUUAUACUUCUAAAAGUAAGGGACGAAAACAAUCAUUUUGCAAAAUGUGAGAAACAUUUUCAACCAUUUUCUCUUUUCAAAACAUGGUCAAAUGUCAUCAAUUAGACAAAUUACAAAUGCACAUUUGUUUUAGGCAUGAUUUAACAUACCUCCCCCAACGUUCAUGACAAUUAUAGGCGGUGCCCUCUAAGUUUGAAAAAUUACACCUACAUCUCCUCUUGGUGUAAAAUAACAAAAAUAACCUUUACGAACUACAAAAUGCAACGGCUCCAUGGAGGGAAUAAUGCAUUUGAAGUUAAAAUAAAUGGGUUAUAAAUGGGUAAUUGGAUUACUCAUUUAUAUCCAUUUAAUUAGAUAGGUAUACAUGGGUUGACUCACUUAUGCUCAUUACCCAUUCUACUCAAUCCAAAUCCGUCCAAGUCACCCAUUUUAACACCUCUAUUUAUGAGUAUGUGCCACGAUCAACUACUUCACUGAAGCAGCGAAUUAAGCUCCACUUGACAUUAUUAUUGUCUAACUGGAAAGUCCCGUCCCAUGCAUGAAGUCCCGUUGUUGGCGAUGUUGAGAGGAAAAGAAAAGUCUGGUUCUUCUAUUAUUACAGAAGCCUACUACUAAAUGUUAUGGCUGAUGGUCCAAUAUCGAAUGGUUAACAAAAUUUCCAACGUCCUUUACACGGUAGUUGACAUGUCACAUGUUGGAAUUUAUUAACCUGCAGAAUAUAUCCACAUCCAAGGCUAGCUAGAAAAUAGAUGAUUAGUAUGUUCAGAAUUUCUUUGAGUUAGACUAGUAGUACCCUAUUGUGUACAAAUAUAUAUAUAUACAUACAUACAUACAUACCGAUCUUGUAGAUCUAUCGGUCCAAAUUUUGCCACAUCUUCAAAUACUUGAGUUGGUAAAAUGAUGUGAUAAAUUUUGAACCACCAAACCUAUAUACACUCUAUCUACCCAAGUGUUUGCCCUGGACUAGAGUCGUAUUCAUUCCCAAAGUCACCCCAACUAGAGAAGUCAACUUGGGGGAAGGGAAAUUUAUUUUUAAAAAGAAAAAAAGAGAGAGAGACGGAAAAAGUGCAAAAUUGAUCAAAAUUCAGCGGAAAAGGUUUUUUAAGGUAAAGCUUGGAUAGCGGAGAGAGGUAAAUGCUAAAAUGUAUUACAUGUGGUCAUUGGAACUAAGGGUGCAAACGAGUCGAGUCGAGUCGAGAUUUGGCCUUAUCGAACCGAGCCUCCAGUUAAUUAAUUUUGUGAAGAGUUCGAGCUCGACGAGCUCAAAAUGUCAAGUUCGAGCUCGAACUUAAAAAAUAAAAAAAAAAUAAUAAUAAAUUUAUUUUUAAAAAAUAAAAAAUAAUUAUUUAUUUUUAAAAAUGAAUAAAAUAAUAAUUUUUUAAUAAAUAAUAAAAUAUAAGGGAUAUAUGUAUAAUUUUACUAUUAAAAUAAAAAAUAAAAUAUAUAUAUAAUUGAGCUCGCGAGCCAACGAGCUUAAUGUUUUUGAGCUCGAGUUCGACUUAAUUAGCUCGAGCUCGUACUCAAGCCGCUCGCGAUCGGCUCGAUUCACGAGCACCCCUAAUUGGAAUGUGUAAAGAUGAAAGAUCUACAGGACACUGCACACACAUAUUUCCAAAACAAUGACUAUAGAAAUAUAUAUAGAGGUUGCUACAGAAUGGACUAAUGAGAAUAUAUCGCCGAUUAGGACUAUUGAUUGAUCAUUUAGGUCUGUCGAUAUGAAGAAACACUACUUUUACUUGUUCCCUCUUGCAGUACUUGUUUUGCUGCACUAUCUAAUGAUGACCAGUUGCACAGCCAUGAAAAGAUUAAGUUUAGGCACUGAUCAAUCUGCUCUUUUAGCCCUGAAAGCCCAUAUCACUUCAGAACAGCAAGAAUUUUUGUCAAAAAACUGGUCUUCUACAGCUGCUGCAUCCUCUGUCUGUGACUGGAUAGGAGUCCAGUGCAGCUCCCGACACCAAAGAGUGACUGCUUUAAAUAUUUCAAACAUGGGACUCACCGGAACAAUACCUCCGGAUUUGGGAAACCUCUCCUUUCUUGUUUCUCUUGAUCUGAGAAAUAACUCCUUCCACGGAAAUCUGCCCGAAGAGUUGUCACACCUACGCCGCCUGAGGUUCAUCCGGUUUUCCAAGAACAACUUCACUGGAGAGAUUCCAAUGUGGUUUGGUCACUUUCCCGAACUCCGGUUCUUGUUUCUUGACAACAAUGGUUUCGGUGGCUUUAU